rnacentral:lncRNA from 1 species
AGACGGCGCACUGGAAGGCGCGCACGCCGGUGUGCGUGACCAUGUGUUUGAGCAGGUAGUCGCGUAGAGAGAAGGAUCGCCAGCACACGGCGCACUGGUGCGGCUUCUCCCCUGCGGAAGACAGGGCGGGCCGCGAACGCAAGUCAGACUCUACAGCUCCCCGCCCCCACCCCACCCCACCCCCACCUGGGCUCCUGGACCUAGCAGGGGCUCCCCUCCCCUCCCGAACCACCACCCCGGGAUCCCUUGCCUAUCAGAGAACCCUCCCCUCACUAUGGGAUCUUCCUGCCCAGCAGGGACACCCCCUCCUCUCCAGGACCUCCCUUCACGUUGGGACUUUCCUGCCCAACAGGGAUCCUCAUACACUGUGAGGUACCCCUCUCCCAUCCCUUCCUGGCAGGGACCCCCUUUCUGUUAUCCUGGGAUAUCACUGUGACAGGGCACCCCUAAAUCCAGCAAGCACCCUGUCUGCAAGGAACCCAGCCUGUCUGGAACAUCUGUUGGCCAUCUGGACUGCCCACUGGGAUCUCCCUCUACCCUCAGCCAGGCGUGGUGGCUCACACCUGUAAUCCCAGCACUUUGGGAGGCCAAGGCAGGCAGAUCGCUUGAGGCCAGGAGUUCGAGACCAACGUGGUGAAACCCCAUC